GCGCGAGGCGUGCGCCUUGGGUGCCGCGUGGCCUCCGGCUCCCGCCCCGCCUGUUCUAUGCCCUGGCGGAUUCGGAGAGACGCUUCCGGGACGCCUGCGCCCUCAAGGUUGGGGUCCACACCCCGCCCCUAAACCAGGGCUGGCUUCAGUUUACCCUGCCAAAUUCCCGGCCUGUUUGGAGGCCGAGUGGCGUUAAGGAUAUGUUGGGAAGUGUGGGGACAAGGGGAGAGAAUAUCGGUAACAGUUUGUGCUUAAUUACUGAAUCUCAUCUAGUCUGCGUCGUGACGGAAGUGGCUUUAGUAAUUCCUGGUUUGCAAACGAAGCAGAGUGGUUCAGUGACCAGCCCCUUCCCGCAGUGUUUGGGCUGGGAUCCACACCCGUUCUGAUCCGGUCUCCCCAGCGCAGUGCAGCUGAGCCAACGUCCAGCGCCCGCGCCGCUGUCCUGGUCAAGUAGUGACCGUUUCCAGGGCCCAGCUGAGGAGACAAAUAAAACAAAGGUACUGAAAUAAAACAGUGAUGGUCCACAUUUGCUUAGUGAUGCAGCAUUAUGCUCCAGAGGCCUAAAAUCUCCAUAGACGACCUGAAAUAUUACAUGUUUAGAAAUUAUGUAUACCUGUUAUCACUUGGGAGGCAGAGGCCGGAGAAUCGCUAUGAGUUCAUGGUCAGCCUGGUCUACACGUUCAAGGCUAGGCUGUAAUAUAUAGCAAAAUCGUCUCAAAAAAAGAAAAAAAAAUCAUGUAUUGAAAAACAGGUUGAGGGCCGGGGAUAUAGCCCAGUAGCUCAGCGCCUGCUUGGCAAGCACAAGAUGCCAGGUACCAAAAAUAAACAAGGUUGAGGUAACCAAGACUACAUUACAGUAGCAAGUUCAAGGCCAGUCCUAGUGAGACCUUAUUUCAAAAAAUAAAAAAUCCUCCAAGGCUGGGGCUGUAGGUAGAGUCCUUGCCUAGCAUGCAGGAAUCCUUGGGUUUUCCAGGAUCACGAGGAAAAAAAAAUCAGUAGCAAGCGUUAGAUACUCACCAUAAAAUCUUGGAGUUUUUGUUUCAGAUUUUUUGGUACUCAGGACCUUGUACUUGCCAGGCAGGUGCUUGUGCCAUUGCACUGUAUCCCUGCCUUUCUUGGAAUUUUGGGGGAGAUUUGGAGUUUUAAUAACUGUGACCCUAGAGAAGCAGAAUAGCUAACCCCCCAGUUUCUUCAGUUUUAUUAGGAAAAGGAAAGUCAGUACUACAUUAACACCACUGUUGAGUAAAUGUAUCCCUGAUGGCUUGAAGAUUUUUUUUCUGUGCUUUGUUUUUGGCAGCAGUGCUUGGGAAUCAAAUCCAGGGUCUUUCAUACAUGCUAGAUGUGCUUGAUAAACACCUUGAGAUUCUACUCCAGCAGCUACAUCUUUUUAUUAUUUAAUUAUUGGUACAUUUUAGGUAUACAUAACAAUCACAUUCAUCAUAGGGAAUCUGUACCUAUACAUAAUAUAUUUUCUCUUGCAAUCCCUCAUCCUCUCAUUUGCAUAAGCUGUUUCCAUUUUUUCCUUGUUGCUUUUUUUCUUUCUUCUUUUCCUCCUCCACCCUCGUUACCCUUUUGAACAUUUGAACACUUUCUUCCUAUUACUUAUACUUCAUAUCACUUACAGGUCUUGGUUCAUACACUUUUAGUCUCUUGCACCAGAGCAGCAAUACAAUAUUUACAGAUGGGUGUUUGUUUCACUUAUAAAUACCCAUCUGUAUAUUGUAUUAAGACUAUACUCCUAAAUAUACUUCAGAGUAUAGUCUUAAGUGGCAUCCAUUCACCUAGAAAUGUCAAGUUUAUCCUUUAUGGAUGAGCAGUAAUCCAUUGUGUGUAUGUGUGUGAGUGUGUGUAUAUAUAUUUGUCCAUUCAUCUUUAUAUCCAUAAAGAUAUAUACACAUCUUUAUCCAUUCAGAAGUUUAUUAGAGUCAGCCAAGUUAGGUAGAAACAUAGUAGGCAGUCAAGCAGUUCUGGGCCUUCCAGUGAGUCAGUGCAGAAGAUGAGAAUCCAUGGGGACUGUGGUGGGAAGGGCGUCUGAAGAUUAAAGUCACCUAAAGGGUUGGUUUUACUACUUCUCUAAGGGAUGAGGGGAGGUUUGGGAUUAUUGGUAUCAUCCUUUUUUUUUUUUUUUUUUUUGUCUUUUUCCUUUUUAUGGUUCUAGGGAUUGAACUCACGAUUGCCUGCUUGCAAGGCAGGUACUUUAUGCCGCUGAGCUAAAUCCCCAGCCCCGGUAUCAUCCUUUUGAGCUUUCCCAUGUCUCAUUCAUGGCGGGACAUCCUCUCUCAUCUACUAUGACUAAGACUAAAACUAAGAGUAAGACUAAGACUGCUAAAACUAAAGACAAGGCCAAGACUAUGGAUUAUCAACCAAGGUUAAUGAUGUCACCCAUGUACCCUUGCUACCAUUAGAUCAAUAAUACUUAAGCAACUAUACUUACAAUCUUAUUCUUUGAACACAAUUUUGACCCACGUUGUACCUGCCUCAUGAUUUUGCUCUACAAAACUUCUUUUGACAGGUGGUCUCAUUGGCAACCCAUUCAAGACGCCGCCUGUCUCUCAAGAGCUAUUUCUAUUCCUCAUUCCCCAUUCCUUUUAUCCAGUAAGUUUUUCUAUUCUUAACCUUCAUGUUUUCUUAGAAUUCAUCCUUUGACUUCAGGGAAUGUGAACUCAGUGUAUUUGACACCUAGCAUUUGCCCUGUAUCAACUUGGGCAUUUGGGCAGUUUCUAAGAUUUGGCUAUUACAAACUGUGCCGCUGUAAAAACAUAGGUUGUGGAUAUAUCACUGUUGCAUAGUGCUUUUGAUUCUUUUCAGAAAGAGAAUAGGUGGGUCGAAUGGAACCUCUUGUUUUAGUUUUUUGAGGAAUAUGCACAGUAGCUGUACCAGUCUACCUUCCUAUCAACAGGGUUCCCUUUUCCCCCACAACCCUUCCAGCAUUUGUUACUGGUUGAUUUCUUUUUUUUUUUUUUUUUUUUUUUUUUUUUUGUCUUUUUCCUUUUUAUCGGUACCGGGGAUCGAACUCACGACUGCCUGCUUGCAAGGCAGGCGCUUAUGCCGCUGAGCUAAAUCCCCAGGCCCCUGGUUGAUUUCUUGAUGGUAGCCAUUUGUUCUGGAGUGAAAACCUCAGUAUUGUUUUAAUUGCAUCUCAAAUAACCAUGGAUGUUGGCCACUCUUUCAUAUAUUUAUUUCUUGUUUCUACUUGUACAACUGAGAAGUGUGUAUUCAACCCAGAUGCCCAUUUUUGAAUUGGGUCUUUACAUUUGGGAAUCUGAUUUUUUUUGUUGUUUUUUGUUUUUUUAUAUAUUCUAGAUAGUAGGACUUUGUCUAAGGAACAACUAGCAAAGAUUUUUCCUCACAUUGUAGGCUUUUUCUUCACUCUAUUGGUGAUUUCCUUUUGCUAUGUAAAAACUCUUUAAGGAGAUGAGAUUCCAGUUACUGCUUUUUUUGUUAUAGUUCCUAUACAAUCAGAGUUUUGUUCAUAAAGUCUUUGCCUAUACAAAAGUCUUCAAGAUUUCUACUUAUUCUACCUUCCAGCAGAUUUAGUGUUUCUCUUUUAAUAUUUAGAUCUUUGAUGCAUUUUGAUUUUGUUUUAGUGCAUGGUGAAAAAUACGGUCUUAGUUUUAAUGUGGAAUGUGCCAUGUGGAAAGCCAGUUUUCCCAGCAUCAUUUAUUAAAGAGGCUAUCUUUCUUCCAGUGGCUCCUUUAUCUUUUUUUUUUUUUUUUUUUUUUGUCUUUUCCUUUUUAUCGGUACUGGAGAUCGAACUCAGGACUGCCUGCCUGCAAGGCAGGAGCUUAUGCCACUGAGCUAAAUCCCCAGCCCCCAUAGUGGCUCCUUUAUCAAAGAUGUUGUUCAAGAAACCCUUAUUCCUAGAGGCUUCUUUUUUAACUGUAGCCCAUAUAGUUCAGCAUCCUCAGGCCAUCUAGGGACUGGUAAUACUUCUGUGGUCGGAAACUGGAUUAGAAUUGUGCAUAUUUCCCAUUUUACCUCAAUAAAUUGCAAGGCUAAAAGCUUUUCUUUGUCUUCCAAUGAGACUUCCUAGAAGUGAGUCAUACUUUAGAUAUGGUUGAGCUUCCAUGUGCAGUACUGGAAUUAUCCAGUCCUUUGAAUGGUACCUGGAUAUGAAGGCAUCUCGUGCAGGGGUGCCCAGCUAAAAGAGCAGCAGAGAAAUGGAGCUGGAGUAAUGGGAUAACAUCAGUUCUUCAGGUUGCUGUUUUUUCUUUUUUUUUGGUACCAGUAAUGAAGCUCAUGACCUUGCGCUUGACAGGCAGGCACUGUGCCCCUGAGCUACAUCCCUGUCAGUUUGCUCUACCUUUGGAUUUUCAGUUACCUGUUAAUAACUUCUUGGAGCUCCUGAUGCUGCCUGCCUAACAUACAAAUCCUGCUAAAGGGCCAGGGAUUUAGCUCAGCAGCAUAAGUGCCUGCCUUGCUAAGUGCACGGCCAUGAGUUCGAUCCCCCGUACCAAAAAACAAAACAACAACAACAAAAAGAACCCUGCUAAAACACAAACACAAAAACAAGACCAUCAACAACUUCUGUGUCAUUUAAAGCCAUUUUCACUUUGUCUUGUGGUGCCAGGGAUUGAAUGCAGGGCCUUGUUCACCCUAGGCAAAUGCCCUAUCUCUAAGCCACGUUCCCAGCCCUGAAAUGUUUUGCACUGAGUUUCCUAUUUCAGUGAAAACUUAAGAUUUUACACAGGAAGUAAAGGCAGAGGUGGCUCUGACACUUUAUGAUCACAUGAGAAGAGCGAUACCAAGGUAGGAUUAUACUUUAAGCAGUAGAGAACACUUAAGUGGCUUUUGUCGUUAGAAUUGUAAAUGACUCUAUCCUCAGAGGAUUGUGCCCAUAGAAGGAAAAAAGGAAAAAGACUGAAGUGCCAAUUGAGGAUUUAUUUUUUGCUGUGCUGGGUGGGGAUUGAACCCAGAGCCCUUGUACCAUAUUAUGUUCCCAGCAUUCUAAACCCUGACCCCCUUUUAUUUUUAUUUUGAGCAAGGUCUCACUAAGUUGCCUAGCUGCCCUUGAAUAUAUGAUCCUCCUGCAUCAGCCUCUCAGAAUGCUGGUAUUACAGACAUGUAUCACCAUUCCUAGGUAGUGUUUCUUUUGAAAAUCUUUAGUAGGCAUGUUGGCACAUGCCCUCAGUCCCAGUGCUUGGGAGACUGUGGCAGGAGAAAUACUAAGAGUUCCAAGAAAGGCUGUGCUACAUAGUGAGCUUGAGCAUGGCCUGAACUACAAAGCAACGCUCUGUCUCAAUCAAUCAGUGAAAAGAAAAUCUUUGCCAGGAGCUCUACCUUAUACCUAUGAAUGUUUGAAGAAUUAUUUUUUGAAAAAUGAAGUCUUGGGGCCUGGGGAUUUAACUCAGCAGCAUUAAGCGCCUGCCUUUUAGGCAGGCAGUCAUGAGUUCGAUCCCUGGUACUGAUAAAAAGGAAAAAGACAAAAAAAAAAAAAAAGAGAGAAAGAAAAAUAAAGUCUUGUUAUAUUGCUCAGACUGGUCUCAAACUCUGGGUCCUCCAGCCUGAGCUGCAAGCGGUGAAGAGUAUAGGCUGGUGCCACUGCACCCACCUGAAAGACAUCACAAUGACCUCUGUUUGGGUGCGGGGAGGUAAAACAGGGUCUCAUGGUGUAGUCCUGACCAGCCCUGAAUAAUCAGCUUCUGAGUGCUAUGGUUUCCCUGAUGCCUAGGCAAUGAUAACUUCCACAGAAUCCCUAUCUUUGCUUUUUUUUUUUCUCUCCUUUUUAAAACAGGGUAUCGCUAUGCAGUUCAGGCUGGCCUCAAACUCAGUUUGUAGCCUAAGUGGCUUCAAACUCUUGGUGAUCUUCCUGCCUCAGCCUCCUGAGUGUUGGGAUUGCAAGCAUGGGCCACCACACCUGCCCUAUCCUUGCAUUUAAAGGGGGACAAGUAAAAGAGGUGUGAUCAAUAGUGUUGUGUUUCUGCAUCUCCUUCUCUAGAAGAGUACUCAGAUCAUUCCAUUCAUUGAGAGACAGACUUGGGGCUGGGGAUUUAGCUCAGCGGCAUAAGCACCUGCCUUGCAAGCAGGCGGUCAUGAGUUCGAUCCCUGGUACUGAUAAAAAACGAACAAAGAAAAAAAAAAGAGAGCCUUAUGAACAGCUAAAUUAAAUGUUAAGCGCCUGGCAAUAAUUACUGACAUGUCUUCUAUAUUUUGUCACGAUAGGCUGUGGCAGGUAUUUAAUCAGAGGUGUUAUUGGGCUGGGUGUGGUAACAUGCCUCUAAUCGGCAUCCUAGGGGGCUAAAACAGGAGGAUCACAAGUUUAGGCUCAGCAUGGGCCAUUUAAUGAGACCCUGUCUCAAAAAUUUAAAAAAAUGGAAAUUGCAGAUAAAACAGUAUGAAGGCCCUAUUUUCAAAUCAAUUCCUAAUACUGUGCACACAAACCAGCCAAAAAAAAAGGUAUCGUAGGAUGGUUAGAACAAUGUGUGCAGAGUCAACACUGCUAGCAAGGAGGCUGUGGUCUUCUCUCAUGCAAGAGUUAUACAAAGAAGUAAAAUGAAUUUUGUGAAGGUAAACACCUCCAUUACUUUGCUUUUCUCAAUAUCCUUAAAGUGAUUGAUAGACUAGUACCCUUAGCAGAGAACAGACAAAAACAGAACUGAGCCACAGAUUAAGGACCAAGUGAGUGUGUGUGAGUAUGUGUGUGGUGCUGGGGAUAAGACCAGGGAUUUUGCUGCACCUAUUAGCUGAGCACACACCUGAGCCUCCAGCCCUCUGUGAAGUGCACGCUGACAUUAUUAAGGUAGAGUGGACGCACAGCUGGUCCCUCAAGCACCUUGGCACAGUCAGUAGUAAAGCUUUUGAAUAAUUUAUAUAGAGAAACUUUUCUUUAGGGUAGUUUUGUAAUGGAAGAAGAGAAAAUUCCCUUUCCUGUUUCCUGCUGGUCAGAUGUCUCAUAGGGAGUUGAUUCCUCCAAAACUAGAUUGUGGCUGGGCGUGGUGGCACACACCUAUAGUUCUAACACUCAGGAAACAGACAAGAGGACCGUUGUGAGUUUGAGGCUAGCCUGGACUACACAGCAAAGAUUCCGUCUUAUAAUAAAUAAAAUGGUAGGUUGCAUCAUCAUACCCCUUUGAUAGUAGCUGAGGAUAUCACAUCCAUUACUUCUUAAGGCAUGGCAUUUUACUGAAGUGUGAAAGCACAAAGAGGAGCCACAAAACUCCAGUGUAGGGGCUGGGGAUUUAGCUCAGCGGCAUAAGUACCUGCCUUGCAAGCAGGCAGUCCUGAGUUCGAUCCCUGGUACCGAUAAAAACGAAAAAGACCAAAAAAAAAAAAAAAAAAAAACUCCAGUGUUGUGCAUUGUCCCAGAGGUUUAGUAGCAGUCUUUGGGUAGCACCUGACAGUCCCUAGAAAUGACCAAUGAGGGCCUGGGAUUUAGCUCAGUGGCCUAAGUACCUGCCUAGCAAGCGCGAGGUUGAGUUUAAUCCCUGGUACCAAAAAAAAACCAAAUGACCGAUGAGCCCAGACCUGGCUGUCCAGUGAGAGUCGUGACACUGGCUGGCAGCAAGGACAGCUGAGCUGAGCAGUUGUCUGUGCUUUGCCGCUGCCUUCCCGGAAUUAACAAUGCUGCCAAUACAAAAUAAGCCUUUGUAAUUGAAGGGCUAUAUGAAGUAGCAGCUGAUUCUAGGUAAUUUAAGCAAAAUGGCAUUGUGGAGUGGGGUUGGGACGGGGUUUCACUGUGGAGCCCAGGCCCCCUUCAAGCUUUCUACAUAAUCUUGGCUGGACUCAGAUUCAUACAUAGUCUUCCUGCUUCAGGCUCUCGACUGCUGGGAAGGCAUGCACUAGCACUACCAUUCCUGCCUGUUUAAGCAAAAUGAUGUUUUGAAAGAUUAGAAAAAGUCACAGGUUAGAAGGGAAGGCUGGGGAACCAGACUCAUAAUAAACAGAUCAAGAAGCUUUAGAGUAUUGAGAGCUGCAUGCACUGCUAUGGCUCUCUUCCAGUGUUGCUAAACAGGUAACAAUGGUCAUUACAGCUUGCUUGCAUCAUUCUACUCUUAUUGAAAAUCCUAGGAGAAAGACCUGACUAACCAAGCCUUAGUCAAAUACUUCCCCCUUGGGUGGUGAAGACCUCCAAGGACCAGGACUUCUAGCUCAUCAAGUCUAUAUACAAUGGGGAGAGAAAAAAAAUCCAUAAUGAAAACUGUGCUGUUAGAAAUGAAUGCUGUUAGCAAAACAUUUGCUCUUUGUCCCUCUGGUGGUUUAGCAUUUAAGUGAUUUUCUUCCCAUUCAUCUACUUUCAAAAAUAGUCCUGCUACCUGGCAUGGUGGUACAUACCAGUAAACCCAGUUACUUGGGAGGCUAAGACAAGAGGACAGCAGAUUCAAGUUCACCCUAGGUAACUUAAGUGAUAUCUUUUUUUUUUUUUGUCGUCUUUUUCCUUUUUAUCGGUACCGGGGAUCGAACUCACAACCGCCUGCUUGCAAGGCAGGUGCUUAUGCCACUGAGCUAAAUCCCCAGCCCCUAACUUAGUGAUAUCUUGUUUCAAACAUUUUUAAAAAGGCCGACAGCUGGGGCCUGCAGCUCAGGGAUGGAAUACUUACCUAGCAUCUGUGAUGCCUUAGGUUUCAACGAAACCCAGGAGUGCAAACCAAAACAAACAGUCCUAACAAUGCAGUUAAUUCUUCAUAAAACAACUCUUCAUUGCACAGAUGCCAAUCUGUGCAAUGAGAUAUUGCAGAUAUCUCAUUGGAGAUAACGCCAAUCUGCAGCAUGAUCUAAGUUCAGGGUCUUGGUGAUGUACAGUUCUGUUCUUGCUUUAGCUGUUCUUAGGUCAGGGAAGUAGAAGCCAGUCCUGGGAUUCUUGGCUGGGAGUAGGUCCUCAAAUGAAGGGGAUAGAGGGAAGCAGGACAUGGCAGUGGAAAUUAGCCACAUGAGGUCUUAGGGGAAGACUGGUUUAGAAGGCCAAUUUAGAAAGCCAAGACAUCUGCAAUACAUACUAUAUCUUAACUAAACAACCAAAACCAACCCCCAGCCCCCAAACCCAAAAUUUACAAGUAAAACAAAGGGCUGGUAUAUAACUCAGUGGUAAAAGGCUCACUUAGCAUGUGGAUGGCCCUGGUUUCAGUCACUAGUACUGGGGAAAAAAGGGCCAUUUACUCCAAUAUUGCUGGUAAUGAGAUAAUCUUUUUUUUUUUUUCUUUUUUUUGGUACUAGGGACCAAAUUCAUGACCUUGCACUUGACAGGCAGGCACUUAGGCCUCUGAGCUAAAUCCUGGGUCCCUAAACUCUUAGUAACAGCCGUAGCAUAAGGUUGAUUUACGUUGAAGUACAUCAGACUUUUCAAAAAAAAACUAUUUUUCACAGCACUGAACGACGGAUGUAACUUUUCACUGGUGUAAUGGCAUUCUAAGGGAAAAAAUUAAAACACAAGUCUCUUUACCUAGCAACAUUAAAUGAAUCAUCAUCUGCUUGUGGAACAAUGUUGUACAUUAGGCCAGGCAGGUAUAAUCCAGGAUGGAGAAGCUGCGGCAGUAUGCCCAACUCUGUGCAUAAGUACUUUUGCCUCAGCUUCUCCAUCUUGGAUUACAAAGACCCUACCUCAAAACAAAACAAUCCCCUCAAAACAAAACACCACAAAAAAAGACCAAAACACAAACAGUGCGUAAAUGCUGGACACAAUAGUGCAUACCUGGAACAUUGAAACGAGACAGCAAUCUCGAGUCUACCUGGGCAACUUAUCAAGGUUUUCUCCAACCAAAGUGUGGCAUGAAAGCUGUUCAAUCCCAUGUACCAUAAAAACAAAAAACUAGGGGCUGGGGAUUUAGCUCAGUGGCGUAAGUGCCUGCCUUGUGUGUGUUCCAUCCCUGGUACCAGUUUAAAAACAACUUGUGGGAGACCAACCCAUUUUCAGCACUGGGACUGAAACUAGAUCAUGCGCUGAGCUUACAUACACACUAAUUUUUUUAUUUUUUUGAGACAGGGUCUCACUAAGUCGCUAAAUUGCCCAAGCAGGCCGCAAACUUACUACCUUCUGCUUUAGCUUCCUCCUAUAUGCGUGUUACACACAUACCACCUUGCCUGGCUGAGUCACAUGAUACAAGUUUUUCAGUGGAAAAAUUGCUGUUGCAUUUUAUUUUUUUGGCUAUGUAUUAAAGUUUUAGUGUUUUAGAGUAUUAAAAAACUAGAUUGAGUGGAAACAUUAAAGUUAUUAGGUUUUACUUUUGGGUUUUGCCCUCAAAUUUAUGGCCACCUUGCUGCCUCAACCUCAUGCGCUAUGGUUAUAAGCAUUAAAAGCCCUUCCUGGUCAUUUUUAUAGAACCCUGGUGCCAUCUGGUUUUCAAUGUACCUAUCAGCAUUUUGCUUUUUAAGACUCAAGACCUUUAAAAGUUAGUUUUAACACCCCUGGGACCCAAAAGUUGAGUGGUGGAGGGAUUGAACAGUCAUCCUCCCUUAAGGUUCGCUACAUGCUUCUUGAAGAUGGUCUCACUAAUGUCACCAAGUUACUCAGGCAGAGCCAUUUAUCUCCUUGCUAUAGCCUCUGACCUUGCUGGCAUUGUAUGGCAUGUGCUACUGUGCCCAUCUUAACGUCACUUUCAAUAUUGUAGUAGUCACUACUUACGUUGCUCGUGCCCUAAUGGACUGUAAGGUUUUUGUUCAUUUUUAACCCUUCUCAUCUUCAACUGUUUAUCACUUACCAAUUAACAGUGGUAAUGUAAACUUCUCUCAAAGCUGCAGCUUGAUUACCAGGGCCAAAUAGCCUUUAGUUUAUCCAUCAGGUCCACAAGGAAAGGUCUGAGUUAUGUUAAAAACAGGUAACAACUCAUUAACUUUUGUAACUUUGUGCAAGAACUUGAUGAAAACCUCCAAUCCACACAGAUGCUUUUCUCCACGAGUUAACUGUAUCUUCACUAUUAAUUUUUUUCUCUGGAAGGGUUAAUUUCACUCUAAGAAAUCCCAACUCACUCGUAUUUAAAAUACCUAAGUGUGUUUUAGUAACACAUAUGUGGCAAAGCAACUUAGCUUUUCCUUGAGAAAAUUGUAUCACAGGUAGUAUUCACUAGUUCCAAGUGUUCAGGCAUUUCAUGUGCUAGUAACCAAAAGAACUCUAAUCCUUCCAACUAAACCCAAGCAUCACUAAAGUAAUUCCCUUAAAAGGUCUAUUUUAUAUGCAUAUACCCAAGAAAAACUGCCCAACUUUAUUACGGGGAACGUAGAACUACCUUAUAAGGCCAUCACCCUAACAAAAGCUACCUACUGGAUUUUAAAAAUGUACCCUCCCUUUGAGGUUAAAUUUAUCAAAGCUAGAAAAACACUCCACACAAAAAAAUAUGUAAGAUUACUGUAUUUCUGUUUCAACAGAUUUUUACAGGUGUCAACCAACCUUUUUCAAACUGGGCACACAUCAAAUCUAGCAUCAUGGGGAGUUUUAUUGUGCAGCGCAACUUUUAAACUACCAAUACAAAUGCCAGGAUACUACACAAAACAUCCACAGGAACGUCUUUCAACUUGUUCUUGAAUAAUUCACAAACAUUUCCUACAUAAUCCAACAUACAACAGAGAAAU